ACAGGCACUGAAGAACCGACACAUUCGGGACCUCCACCUAAAGCCAGAGAACGAGUCUCUGAGGCUCGCAGGGAGCUCAUCAACAGGCUUGGUGAAGCCUCUCUGAAAGCUGUACUGGAUGGCCUUCAGCAGGGCAUCUCUGGCAGGCCUGCUGUGAUCAGAAUGGAGGAGAGAAAUGAGGUUCUGCAAAAACACUGUGUGACUCAGGAGGACCAAGUGAGGUGCCUCGUUGACAUUUUGUGGAGGAAGGGUGAACCAGCUUGUCAGAGAUUCCUCUCUCUACUUGGAGAAGUGGAUCCUGCCCUCUGUGAAGACCUCUUUGGCCCUGUGAAUUCAGCUGCAACAACAGCCAAACAGGAAGCAGGUGAGUGGCAUUAGAGAACUUUUAAUGGAGGACGAGAAUGUUCACAUACAGUACUACUGCAAGACUAGGGGCACUUG